AUAGAACAGGACCUCAAGGUUUAGGUCGUCCUCCUAUUGGAAAUACAUGUUGACCACGAAUGCUUCCGCAUACCCAACUGGACUUGCACCAGUCACUGCCACAAAAAGAUCAAGCUCUGUGCUUCAACCUGGUGCCAGAUGAAUGCACCACUGGGAGAAUCGGAAUUUCCAGCUUGAUUCCCUUCACGUCCAUGCAAUCAUAAAGGCUUCACUUUUCUGUUUUUUCUUUUCGUUCUUAAUAAUCACAAAGAUUCUGACAUGCAUCUUUUGGUUUCUUGGUUUCUUUGCAUACUGAUUUAUUCAUCCAACCCUCAAAUUACGAGAAAAACAGCCCAUUUGUGUGGUAUCUUGCCAUGAGAACUAUGAUAGCUUCAUGUGGACGGUUGACACUCCACCCAGUAUGUUACAAGGCUAAAGGAUCUUGUUUGGUUGGGGAGAAAGUGUAGGGAAAUGGAAGGAACCAAAAUCUUUGAACACUGCAUGGUCUCAAAUUUUGGGGUUCUUCAAGAAUAAGAUAACUUGUCUGGUUCUGUUUUUUCUUGGUUUUGUAUGGAACCAAAUAGAGGAGUGAGAAAAUUGCUGUUCUCAGUAAUGUUCUUGUUUGAUUUUUGAUGUUCUUCCACUUCUUUGUACAGGGAAAGCUAGAUGGUUUGAAACGUAAAUGCAUGUGAUCAGAAUUAAAAAGAUUAUUAAAAAAGAAAAGAAAAAACAAGAAGAGUAAAGAUUGUUCUUCUUAUAGGUUAAUGGACGUGAAGAUCAUCAAGUUGGAAAUUUGCGAUUCACCCGGUUUUCAAUGGCCAUAUAUUCAUCCGAAACCGUGUUGCAAUGAGGGUCGACUUCAAUGCAUGAAGGAGCUAGCGGCAAAGUACGAAAGGGAGGUGGCCAUGAGCUCAAAAACAACAUAGCCAAUCCGGUAGUACAAGUCCUGGUGCAACGCCACUGUACCAGACUACCAGGUCUUCCACCAGCACCUCCAUCUAUUCAUCCUCCUUAUCCUAUUAUUGGUAUGUCUAAACCUGCAGCAACACCAUACACUGGGGGAAAGCCACCACCGUAUUAUCCUCCUUUUCUGUGUAGGAAAACAAUUCCUCAUUUCGUUUAGGCUUAUCCGGUUCACAUAAAGCUUGAGGGAAGAUAUAUUUUUAUAUUCUACAUCAAACUUAUUUCA